GUGCAAAUGUUAGGACUAGACUACAAAAACGACCAGCAAGUAAGUGAAAUGACAAGUUGCAGGUAAGUAAAAGAAUUGUUACUAUAUUGACCAUUGCGGCGAUUGCGCGUGCGCGUCUGGCUUGCACUAUGAUUCACGUGCAAAGCAUAUGUGUUGAGCUCGUUCCAUAUAAAGUGUCUUAGUGAGAUUUAGAAUAAUAGAAGGUACAUGCUCAAUGUGCCUUUCGAGCUUUUCAACGCUGGCAUUGUUACGAAAUCAUUUAAAACGGUGCCACGAAUUUGAGGAUAACUUUCACGUUAUUUGUCAGGCACCACGUUUUGCAAGUAUUUAUUACACCUUAGAAGGCUACAAAUCUCAUUUGCGCAGAAAGCAUGCAAACAUAUUGAAUAAUUUCAUUGGUGAGAAUUCUUUUCAAAUGGUCUUAUCAUGAAAUAAAUAUGAGCGAAGACAAUGAAGGUCGCAAUGAUGAGCCAGGAAUAGUUUAUGGCAUUACUCAAGACGAUGAUCAUGGUGAUGCAAACAUCGAUAUAUGCCACAAAGAGGAGAAUAUCAGGAUGAUGAACGCCCGGUUUCUGUUAGACACUAAAGAAAUGCAUAAACUAUCUCAAAAAUCAUUAGAUACUCUCGUCAUAAAUACUACUUCCAUCGUCCAAAAUUCCUUUGAAUUAGUGAAAUGUCGUGUGUCAUCAUCGCUUGAAAAUGACGACAUGCCAGACGUGUGCGAAUUGCUGGAAAAUGUAUUCAUGGAGGAAAAUGUCGUGACCAAUCCUUUCCUGGGAAUGGAAAGCAAAUGGCAACAAGAUACUUUUUUAGAGAUGAACCAAAACAAAGGGUUUUGGGAAUCACCCAUGUUCAGAAAAGAAUAAGUGUUGGAAGAAGAACAGUCCCAAAACAAGAUGAAGUCAUCGAAAUUCCUCUUAAGAGCCUAGAGCAAAUGCUGCAAGAUCCAGCCAUAUUAGAUCAGGUCUUGCAUUCACACCAAAGACAAGAUGGGCUCUUAUCAGAUUAUUGUGAUGGCAAUGAAUUUAAAAGCCAUCCCUUGUUUUCCAUCGAUCCGACUGCUCUUCAAAUUAUAUUAUAUUAUGAUGAAGUAGAAAUUGUCAAUCCCCUGGGAAGCAAGACAGGGAAACAUAAACUAGGACUUGUUUACUACACAUUGGGUAACAUUUUACCAUGAUAUCGGUUGCAGUUAAAAGCAAUACAACUGAUUUCAAUUGCAAGGAGACCUGUUAUUAAGAAAUAUGGUAUUCUCUGUGAUGCUCGUUCAUGGAAGAGCUUUCUGAACUUGAAAAGGACGAAGAAUAUCAAUUAAAAAUCAAAGGGUUUGCAAGAAACUUUAGGGGUACCAUCGCAUUUGUGUCUGGAGAUAAUCUUGAUUGCCAAGAAGUAGGAGGUUUUAAGAUAUGCUCUGCUGCAAAUCUUAAGUGUCGUGAAUGCUUGGGUUUGUCUAAAGAUCUAGCUACAAAGUCAAUGUUUGAAAGAGUUCUCCAUCAAUCUCUGCAGCUGAGAAGGUACGUACAUAUGUUAUCGUAAUUUAUUUUGCAAAGCCUAGUUGCAAGUUUGUAGCGAAAAACCCACUUUCAUUAUCAAACAAUCUUCCCAAGCUCUUGCUUCAAGCUUGAGUGUUUUUACAUACGGUAAGUUUGCUAUUAUUAUAGCCGAUUUUUGUCAAAGCUUUACGAAUGACUAACAAGUCAACACAUCAUUGCUCAUCAUUUCUAUUAAAAUAUUACGUUUGUAUAGCGCAUGCGACCUUUGUCAAACAUAGGCAUUGUCAACGUAUGACUGACCUUGACUACGAAAAGGGCGGUAGUUUUUACAAAAUAUACCAAUGAAAUAUGCGUAGUGUUUUUAUAUUGUUUUUAUUUAUGUAUUAUUUUUGGGAAAAUAACUAUUUCCUAUAUCUGCGUUAAAAAUAUAGUUUUUUUCUUUUAGAAUUGGUAAUAAAAGAACUUCUUGAUUAUAUCUCGUGAAACAGUGUAUUUUUUACAUCAUUAACCCUCGAUGGCCCAUUUCUUUUUACUGUGCACUUACUGCCUUUAUAUAACGUAAAACUUAAAUGAACUUAACAAAUAUAUUUCAACACUGUUACACUGAAGCCUGUAGUCAAAAUUUCUUUUGAAUCUGGACACAACAACUUGUUGCAUAGUCGUUGAACUUAGAUUGACGCUGUGGUAGUAAUCAAAGACACUGGAUGUCAAAUGACAAAGAAUAAUUACAACAAAUUUGCAAUUAGGACGCAAAAUAUCCUCACAGUUCAACAUGCAGUAAAAGAAUAGCACUUUUAGUCUAUAGACUGCUGACGAACAUUACAUAAUACAGAUUAGUUAUAGGUUUGAGGUCAAAGCUAUCUAAGGAUUUUCUAAGCAUUAAUGUCAAACUGCGAGAAAGCUGUAAAAAUAACCUUCUAAUAACAGUUUCCGUUUGAGAUUUGCAUAUAAAUGAUACCUCUGCUUAAUAUUGGAUGAAGCAGCUUUAUAAUUUUGCAGUAUUGCUUCACAACAAAGGAAUUGCUGUUUGCGGUUAGACAUCUUAGCAUCCCUCUUUGUCUGAAACUGCAAUAGACUGGCUUGCUGCCAUUUGUCGCAUGGGUAACAGCUAAGACGUUACAAAAUUAAAGCAAUCAAUUUCUUCGGCAAUCUUUGGAAUGAAUAAACAGGGGACAACAUGUACACAUACCCAUAUUUUACCAUACAUUACUUGAAAGUAUAGAGGAGUGUAUACUCAUCUAUUUUGUGCUAUCUAUACAUAUUUGUGUUAAGCCAUUGUUUCUGCCCUUUGCAUUCUAUGGUGGAUGAAGGAUUUUUAUUUUUUGGGAAGGGGGGUGGUACACCCUGCAAAUGUUACAUUUAUUGCGCGUUGUUUAAAAAGACUGACAUUUUCAGGUUAUAUAUUAUAAAGAUCUAAUUUCUAUGGGAAAUAUUCGGAAGGUUGCAGUCGCCCCACUUUGCCCAAACCCAACCGCUUUUUAGCACCUCUGGUAGAUAAUAACAUUAUUGUGUGUUCGAUCUAGGACGAAGAAUAUCAAUAAAAUUCAAAGGGUUUGCAAGAAACUUUAGGGGUACCAUUGCAUAUGUGUCUGGAGAUAAUCUUGAUUGGCAAGAAGUAGGAGGUUUUAAGAUAUGCUCCGCUGCAAAUCUUAAGUGUCGUGAAUGCUUGGGUUUGUCUAAAGAUCUAGCUACAAAGAUUGCAGUAACUAACAAUCAUACAGGCAAUGCUAAUUUUUACCCUCAAGACCAGAGGGGCUUCCUACCGUGCAACCUUUGUCAAAUACCUAGCAUUCGUUGAUACGUGUGGCGAAUGGAUGCCCAGCUUUAUUCAAUAUUUUCACUUUCAUAUAGCUCCAUGAGCAACAUUUUCAACCAUUAAAUCCAUCCAUGUUUUAAACUCAUCAAUUGAAAGGGUGUAUUUAGCUGCUGAAAUUUUGUACACAAAAGAGUUUUGUGAGCAUUAUCGUACCUAUGUUGUAAACAGAACAGUACAUCCUGAAAUUCAGUUUUACCCACAAAGAUCAUUGCAGUACUAUCUCCCACUUCACUUUCUAAAUCCUGUCUGUUCACAUAACCAGACACAUGUUUUGCCUAAAUGUGAUAUUCACAAUUACAAUUAAUACCAAUAUUUACUGAUUUAAAAUAUGAAGUGUGCAUGUUCAUAGCAAAUAUCAUCAUAUUGUAAAGUAUUGCCUGUCAAAUUGCUCAAAACUGCCAUUACUUCCUCAUAAAGCAAAGAAUAAAUUCCAUUUUUAAUGAAAACAGUGCAUUUCUUAAGGUUCCCUAAGGGAUAUUUUCUUGUAAAUGUGAGAAAUAUGAUAACUUGGGUUGCAGAUUUACACUUCAAGUAUUUUGAACUAAGAAUAGGCUUUUUGUUGAGCAGAAUGAUUGAAGCAUAUGUAACAAUGUGUUUUUCUUUGUUCAGAAUCAGUACAGGGGCAAUAUUCAGUAUUGAAGCUGAGUUACAGCAAACAACAAGAUUCAUGAGCAAAGACUUAAAUAACAAGGUGUAUAUAUAAAAGAAAUAUUUUUUGUUCAUUUAGAAAAUAUAUAGCUAAGUACAUCUUGAAUUUAUGUGAGACUUCUAAGUUCACUUACUCUUUAUAU